GAUGGAAGCUGCAGAGCUAACUGUGCAGACAAAUGAGAAAAUAUCUUGGGUCUGCGGAAGGCAACGGUCCUACAUAAUAAACAUGAGAUGUCUGACCACUCCUCUCUGUAGACU